GUUUGAUCCUCGCUCAGGACGAACGCUGGCGGCGUGCCUAAUACAUGCAAGUCGAGCGGACAGAUGGGAGCUUGCUCCCUGAUGUUAGCGGCGGACGGGUGAGUAACACGUGGGUAACCUGCCUGUAAGACUGGGAUAACUCCGGGAAACCGGGGCUAAUACCGGAUGCUUGAUUGAACCGCAUGGUUCAAUUAUAAAAGGUGGCUUUUAGCUACCACUUACAGAUGGACCCGCGGCGCAUUAGCUAGUUGGUGAGGUAACGGCUCACCAAGGCAACGAUGCGUAGCCGACCUGAGAGGGUGAUCGGCCACACUGGGACUGAGACACGGCCCAGACUCCUACGGGAGGCAGCAGUAGGGAAUCUUCCGCAAUGGACGAAAGUCUGACGGAGCAACGCCGCGUGAGUGAUGAAGGUUUUCGGAUCGUAAAACUCUGUUGUUAGGGAAGAACAAGUACCGUUCGAAUAGGGCGGUACCUUGACGGUACCUAACCAGAAAGCCACGGCUAACUACGUGCCAGCAGCCGCGGUAAUACGUAGGUGGCAAGCGUUGUCCGGAAUUAUUGGGCGUAAAGCGCGCGCAGGCGGUUUCUUAAGUCUGAUGUGAAAGCCCCCGGCUCAACCGGGGAGGUUCAUUGGAAACUGGGGAACUUGAGUGCAGAAGAGGAGAGUGGAAUUCCACGUGUAGCGGUGAAAUGCGUAGAGAUGUGGAGGAACACCAGUGGCGAAGGCGACUCUCUGGUCUGUAACUGACGCUGAGG
rnacentral:rRNA from 1 species